CUUCUGUGAAUAAUGCUGCAGUGAACGUGAGAGUGCAGAGAUCUCUUUGAUAUCCUGUUUUCAUUUCCUUUGUGUAUAUACCCAGAUAGAGCAUUUAAUUUUAC